rnacentral:rRNA from 1 species
UACGUAGGGUGCAAGCGUUGUCCGGAAUUAUUGGGCGUAAAGAGCUCGUAGGCGGUGUGUCACGUCGUUCGUGAAAACCUGCAGCUUAACUGUGGGCGUGCGGUCGAUACGGGCAUCACUGGAGUUCGGCAGGGGAGACUGGAAUUCCUGGUGUAGCGGUGAAAUGCGCAGAUAUCAGGAGGAACACCGGUGGCGAAGGCGGGUCUCUGGGCAAUUCCUGACGCUGAGGCGCGAAAGCGUGGGGAGCAAACGGG